GAGUUUGAUCAUGGCUCAGAACGAACGCUGGCGGCGUGGAUAAGACAUGCAAGUCGAACGGGAUAUAUUUUGUAGCAAUACCGAGUAUGUCUAGUGGCGCAAGGGUGAGUAACACGUGGGUAAUCUGCCGAAAAGUUGGGGAUAGCUCGCCGAAAGGCGAAUUAAUACCGAAUGUGAUUUAGGGGGACAUCCCCUGAAGAUUAAAGCCGGGGCAACCUGGCGCUUUUUGAUGAACCCGCGGCCUAUCAGCUAGUUGGUGAGGUAACGGCUUACCAAGGCAAUGACGGGUAGCUGGUCUGAGAGGACGACCAGUCACACUGGAACUGAGACACGGUCCAGACACCUACGGGUGGCAGCAGUCGAGAAUUUUUCUCAAUGGGGGAAACCCUGAAGGAGCGACGCCGCGUGGAGGAUGAAGGUUUUCGGAUUGUAAACUCCUGUCAUCCGGGAGCAAUGCUUACGGUUUAACUGACUGUAAGUUGAUAGUACCGGAAGAGGAAGGGACGGCUAACUCUGUGCCAGCAGCCGCGGUAAUACAGAGGUCCCGAGCGUUGUUCGGAUUCAUUGGGCGUAA
rnacentral:rRNA from 1 species